CCUACGGGUGGCUGCAGUGAGGAAUAUUGGUCAAUGGACGCAAGUCUGAACCAGCCAUGCCGCGUGCGGGAAGAAGGCUCUCUGUAUUGUAAACUUCUUUUGUACGGGAGUAAACUCAUGUACGCGUAUCUGGCUGAAAGUAUCUUACGAAUAAGGAUCGGCUAACUCCGUGCCAGCAGCCGCGGUAAUACGGAGGAUUCAAGCGUUAUCCGGAUUUAUUGGGUUUAAAGGGUGCGUAGGCGGUCGGAUAAGUUAGAGGUGAAAUCCCGGGGCUCAACUUCGGAAUGGCAGUUGAUACGGGGCGGCUAGAGAGUAGUAGCGGUAGGCGGAAUGCAUGGUGUAGCGGUGAAAUGCUUAGAUAU
rnacentral:rRNA from 1 species